rnacentral:lncRNA from 1 species
UUUUGAAAUUCUUUUAAUUGACCCUUGUUCACUUUUGCAGAGAAUAUGGUCUUGCAGAAAGAGAGCAAAAGGAAAGAGACCCUCAAAACAGUCCUAGAGGAAUCUCCUAUACUUACAUCUAGUGUGUCCACUGCAUCCUCUGUGUCCAUCACAGUAUCCCCUCAAUGUAAGGAGAGACAGAGGACUCCUACAGUUUCUUCAGUCAGGAUCCCUAGUCCACAGGACAGUGUGUCUCUAACUGCUGAAGAGAUAUCUCCCUCUAGUGAACCAAGACCAGUACCACCACCAUGUAAGGAGAGAGUAAAGACAUGUCGGGUAAAAUCAGUCAGGGUUCACUGUCGAAAGGAGACAAAACCAUCUCUACCAUCUGCAUGGCCAGUGCUCCCACCUAUCACACAGAAAGCUCCUUUACAAGUUUCAAAACAGGUGCAGGGACAAAAGUCAACCAAGAGGCGUGGCAGCAGCGUAUAUAACUGCCAUCUGAAUGAUUGCCCUUACCAUAAUAACCCCAAGGAAGGGUCUGCAGGUGACAGGGAAUUGGGGCCUGUCAGGGUCAGCACAAGGGCUACAGUAAAAACGGAUCUGGGGAUGCAAAAGUCAUUGGCAGGACCUACAAUAUUUGAGGUAUGGGUUCCAUAUAGACCCAAGGGAGGACCAACCGUAGAUCCAGAACUAGUGCCAAAGAGAACCAGGGCAAGGCCUGUGACAAACAGGACAACUGGUGCAGCAAGCAACUUGCUUUGUGGUAGACAGGGCACCGCCUGCAGUAGACAAGGAGCUGUGUCAGGGGGCACAAACAGCACCAAUUUGUCACAAUUGUUUCUUGAGUGUUCCACACACACUUGCCCUCAUUUAGCACAUUCUGUCCAUACCAUUAGAUACAAGCGUAUGCAUGUACAGGGCCGUGAACUUCAACCUCACUCUGCUAGGCUGCGUAACAUCGCCUUGCAACCUUAUAUGUCCCAGCAUCAGCAGGCAGCGAAGAACAGCACCCUUAGAGAUCCAAAAAGAAAAUCUUCAGCUUUGGGCAAAUCAACCUAAUGCACAAUUGUCCUACUGGAAC